GUAGGGAAUAUUGCGCAAUGGACGAAAGUCUGACGCAGCGACGCCGCGUGAGUGAUGAAGGCCUUAGGGUCGUAAAGCUCUGUUGAAUGGGAAGAAAAAAAUGACGGUACCAUUCGAGGAAGGACCGGCUAACUUCGUGCCAGCAGCCGCGGUAAUACGAGGGGUCCUAGCGUUGUUCGGAAUCAUUGGGCGUAAAGGGUGUGUAGGUGGCCAUGUAAGUCAGGUGUGAAAGCCCCGGGCUCAACUCGGGAAGUGCACUUGAUACUGCGUGGCUUGAGUACCGAAGAGGGUAGUGGAAUUCCAGGUGUAGUGGUGAAAUACGUAGAUAUCUGGAGGAACACCGGUGGCGAAGGCGGCUACCUGGUCGAGUACUGACACUGAGACACGAAAGCAUGGGGAUCAAACAGGAUUAGAUACCCUUGUAGUCC
rnacentral:rRNA from 1 species